AGUUUCUGGUAUUAAGGGUGUGAAUAAGUAAGAAAGAAAAUACAAUCUAGAUUUGUUUUUAAUGAGAUGGAUGCAGUUUUUACUUCUUCCCUAGUAGAAUAUCAGAGGGAGACAGAACUGAGAGCCACGAAAUGAGGCCUCAAGCCCGGAAUAACAAUAAUUGUGUUAUGUUGUCUACUCCAGACUCACUGCCUCCCAUUCCAGGAUCCAUACUGCUAUUUUCAUAACACUCUAAAUGAUUUCACAUCUAUUCCUGGGUAUGGCAUCUCCAUACCAAUCUGAAAACAUAAGAGAGCUCGAAGAAAAGCAUAGACUCAGAUGCAAUAAUCACUUGGGUUCUCUGAGUGAACAGCCUUGGGUAGCCACCAUCCAGAGCAGUGGAGACAUCACCAGUCCCAGAAGUCCCUGAUGUCCCUUCCAGUCACGACUCUGUCCCCUCGCCUAGGGUCUCACUAUGUUACCCAAGCAGCUGGUCUUGAACUCCUGGACUCAAGCGAUCCCCUGGCCUCGGCCUCCCAAAGUAUUGGGAUUACAGACGUGAGCCACCGUGCCUGGACCAAUUUGUUUCUUUAUGUCAAAACUGUUUCUGUUGA